CGAAAAAAAAAACAGAUUCCAAGUGGAGCUUGAGUUCGUCCAGUGUCUUGCUAAUCCACAUUAUUUGAAUUAUGUCAUCAAAGAGCAUGUAAACACACUCAGAUUCCACUCAUGCAGGGAUAAGAAACACUUCCCUCUCUGGACUCAACUGACCCAACGGCAGGAUUUCAAAGUAAAAUCAUCGACUACAGUCUGCAGCAACCACUUUAAAUACGGCCAGCCAUAUCCUGAUGAACUUCACCCAUCUUUAUUUUUGAGAGGAUACGACCUUCCUGAGACAC